ensembl:misc_RNA Metazoa_SRP Metazoan signal recognition particle RNA
GCCAGGUGUGGUAGUGUGCACCUGUAAUCCCAACUACUUAGGAAGCUGAGGUGGGAGGAUGGCUUGAGCCCAGGAGACCGAGGUUGCAGUGAGCUAAAAUCAUGCCACUGCACUCUAUCCUGGGCAACAGAGCCAGAUCCUGUCUCAG